CGGCCCCCGGCCCGGCGGGCGGCGAGCUGAAGCCGCGCCAGUACGUCGACGGCGGCGAGCCCGGGCGGUCCGAGCCCGCCGACGUCGC
rnacentral:tRNA from 1 species